rnacentral:lncRNA from 1 species
AUCUUAUGCAAGAAUAUGCUACACAAAAUUGAAAUGUGUUUAUUUUAAACAAUUACUUUGAAUUUUGAUUCAAUUUUGUUUUGAAAGAUGUGAUUAUUUAAAUCACAUUAAUUUUGUUUUUGCCAAAUCUGGGGACAAAUGCAAAAUUCUUCUGAGUGACUAAGUUAACCAAAUGACUGGGUUGAAGUCACAAAAUACUAC